rnacentral:rRNA from 1 species
AUUGAACGCUGGCGGCAGGCCUAACACAUGCAAGUCGAGCGGAUGAGUGGAGCUUGCUCCAUGAUUCAGCGGCGGACGGGUGAGUAAUGCCUAGGAAUCUGCCUGGUAGUGGGGGACAACGUUUCGAAAGGAACGCUAAUACCGCAUACGUCCUACGGGAGAAAGCAGGGGACCUUCGGGCCUUGCGCUAUCAGAUGAGCCUAGGUCGGAUUAGCUAGUAGGUGAGGUAAUGGCUCACCUAGGCGACGAUCCGUAACUGGUCUGAGAGGAUGAUCAGUCACACUGGAACUGAGACACGGUCCAGACUCCUACGGGAGGCAGCAGUGGGGAAUUUUGGACAAUGGGCGCAAGCCUGAUCCAGCAAUGCCGCGUGCAGGAUGAAGGCCUCGGUUGUAACU